rnacentral:Y_RNA from 1 species
CGCUGGUCCAAGUGCAGUGGUGUCUACAACUAAUUGAUCACAACCAGUUAUAGUUACUUUGUUCCUUCUCCACUCCCACUGCUUCACUUGACUAGCCUAGA